UCGGCCUCUGGCUGAGCGGCCGCAACCGCUCCUACGGCCCCGACCCGCGGGCGAUGGGCCACGACGGCGCGGGCGGUUCCUGCGGUCUGGCCGACCC
rnacentral:tRNA from 1 species